GAAACCCUAGCGUCGUUUCAGUUCAGAUAGUGUUUCUCUCUUGUUCUCUUAUGCUUCAGAUCUGAGAAGAAGAUCCAAACACCAAACCCUAAAAAACUUGAUUUUUGAUUAAAAAAAAAAAUCCCUUAUUUUCUUCUGCAGCCUGUUCGAUCCAAAAACCAUGGUCCUCUUUCGAUUCCUUUUUCUCACAUAAACUCGAUUCUUCACACUUUUAUGUUGCUUAAACUUUGGUUCGUGUUACUUCAUCAUUGGGUUUCAGAAAUUCGUUUCCCUUUUCGUCAUCGUGUGAGAUUUAAUUUCCCGAAUUUUUAUUCUCUGUUUCAUGGAUUUUGAUGUUAUAAAUGUGUUUCAUCUCAUUUAAUCCUUGUUAUAACUAUGUGUUAUGUACUAAUAUCAACAAUCUUUUUAUUCAACACCCACCGAAGAUGGAGGCUGUAACUUGAGAAACUUUGGCUGGAGUAGCUUUGGUUGGGGAACCUUUGGACACUUGGACUUUGAAGAUAAUGAACAGCAGAGAGUAAAAACAGUUUUGUUCAAGUGAUGAACAUAAGCCACACACUUUGAUUUUGACGAAAAGCACAAAAACAAGCACAAACUAAUUAAAUGAUAAUGGUAGCAUCUUUGUUAAUGUUUAAAAGCUUCAAGUCCUUGUUGAAGGAGAGGGAGUGGGUGGGUGGGUGCUGGUGGUGAAACAGAAGGAUAGGGAGAGGGAGGGAGAGAAGAAGAGAAGGAGAAUGAGGGAAGAAGAUAUGGGUAAAAUGGUCUUUGCCAUCCACCUAAGCAAAUUUUUUUAAUUAAGACGAAAAUUCAAAUGAUUAAUAUUUGCAGAGGCAAAAUAGAAGGAUUAGUAAGUUUAUGGAUGAAAAAUCAAAUGAUCUAUAAUUGCAAGGAUGAAAUGCAUAUUUAAGCCUUUAAGAAAUUAUAUGUAGAUUGGAUCUAGCUCUUGUUUGGUACGUUUAUUUGUGUUCUGUUUAUUAGGCCUUCAUUACUUGUAACCUUUGGACACUUGAUCACGUAUUCAUUAGGUUCCAUAAGCCUUCAUGUUCAUUAAGCCUUCAAUAUGGUUUAGUUUACCCUAUGAAGAUUGUAUGUUUAUUUGAAUUAUGUUUACUACUAUUAGAAUUCUACGUUAUGUUUAUUUUAAAAAGUUUCACACUCUCUUUUUUUACAUUAUUACAAAGAUUUACAUAGUACCUUGUUCUAUAAAGAUUAAAAAGUUUCACAUUUAUUUUCUUUACAUUACAAACAUUUACAUAGUACUUAGUACUAUAUUGAAUUUUUUUAUAACUCAUGAUAAUGUUUGAUCUCCCUAUAUAAUAUAGAGAAAUGAUAUUUGUACAAUCAAUUCGGUAUAAUUUUUGUACAACUUUCUCUCUCAUACUCACAUUAUGUUUUUAUUCUCUCUCUUCCUUUUUCUCUCUCUAUUGUUUUUGACCAAUAAGAAGAGAGAACAACAAAAUUGUCUCAAAGGUUGUACCAAAAUGGUUAUCAAAAUAUCACUACUCA